GGAAACUGAAUUGAGAGAAAUGACGAAGAAAUGAAUAAAAGGGGUUUAGAAAUGGGCUACAAGCUGAGAACUGGAUGUUUGUAAGAUGAAAAUCACGUACAGCUGAAGAAUUUAUCUUUUACAGCAGUAAAUAUUUAUUUUACGUGUUCGCAAAAAAAUUCAUUUCUGUCCAACACCGUUACAGUUGCUGACGUCACCGGCGGUCACAAUGCCAGGCCAUCUCUUCUAGUCACAGUACCUCUUCCCACUUGACUCCUUCACUCCGAAUUUCAUUCUCUCUCUAUGGUACCACCUUAACCUGUACCUCCGGCGCACUUUAGCCCCGUAGCCCCCACCGCCCACAAAACAAAAUUACUACCACCACCACCGCCCAACACUAUCAUCAUCGUCAUCACCAAAGUAUGGAACCUCAUGGGUCCCAAACCUCGCGUCGAGCCCACGCCUCUCCCGGCGGAGGGCGCGAAGACUGUUGGUCCGAAGGCGCGACUGAGACGCUGAUCGAGGCGUGGGGAGACCGUUACGUUAAACUUAACCGCGGAAAUCUCCGUCAGAAGGACUGGAAGGAAGUGGCCGAUUCUGUUAACGCCCGUCAGGACGGCGUUAAACAGAAGAAAACGGACAUCCAGUGCAAGAAUCGGAUCGAUACGUUGAAAAAGAAGUAUAAAAUCGAGAAAGCCAAACCUCCCCCGUCAAAAUGGCCGUUUUAUUACCGUCUUGAUUCACUAAUCGGCACUGACGCCAUAAAAAAACCAACGACCACCCUCACUUUAAAAGUUAAACCCAGGCCGAACGCGUACACGCUUGGGAGGUCAAAGUCAACGGAGAAGGAUUUAUCGUCGAACGGUGAUAAUGAAGAAGAAGAGUAUGAUGAUGAUGAUGACGAUGUGAUGGUGGUGAAAAAGGUGCAUCGGAUGGAGGAUGUAGAUUUAUCAGAUGCAUCAGCAUGUAGGGAAUUGGCGAGGGCAAUACUGAAAUUUGGGGAAAUUUAUGAGAAAAUCGAGAGUGAAAAACAAAAGCAAAUGAUGGAGUUGGAGAAAGAGAGGAUGAAGUUCAUAAAAGAUAUUGAGUGUGAAAGAAUGAAUAUGUUCAUGGUGUCUCAAUCGGAGAUCAAGAAAUUGAAACGACAGAAUCGCCCUGCCACCUCAUCAGUACCUAGCUUUCAUGGAUGUGUGUUUUACAAGUAGAAAGUGAAAAGGAGGUGAAGCUGAGUUAAUAUUGGUGCAACAGUGUUCCUCAGUUGCACCUGGGAUGAGUUCAGGUACAGCUCUGCUUGUUUUAAUGGUGACUAGUGUGAAACUAGAGCUGGUGUAAUCAAGUAGGUCUUGGGAAAAUCUGUGGGGUUGGAUUUGGGUUGGCCUUGUUUCUCUACUUGUGUUCUGGUCGUAGUUCUGGUUUGUGUUCUAUCUUUGUGGUGGAACUGGUUUAAUGCAGUGUGUUUGUCGUGGGAGUUGUACAUGUAAAUAUUUUCAACUAGUGCAAGGAACCUAUCAAGUGGUUCGAAGGAAGAAAAGUCAUGGCUGAGAGUUGAGAUCACAUGAAGAGUAGAUAUGAGAAGAUAAUUACCACCUAACCAUCCAUCUCUGUGAAUAUGCCCUUGGGUGCCAGUCCAUCUAACAACUGCAGCUAGUUUGAAGCUUGGGAAGAUUAUUUGGCUUGUGUGGUUUCCGUCUUUGUAAGGUUUACGUAUGUGAAUAGUUGUUUCGACACAGAUUUAUCAUAUCUGUAUAUUUUUAUAAUAUAUGGUCAGAAUUACCUUAAAAGAAUAGUUGUUUUGACACAGGCUUUCGGGAUUCUCUGUGAAGGCAAUUGAUUUAGUAUAUUACCUUCUUACAUAUAUUAUAUUUCAGAAUUCUCCA